GCCGAUGUAGCUCAGCGGUAGAGCACCGCACUCGUAAUGCGGGGGUCGUGGGUUCAAUCCCCACCAUCGGCU
rnacentral:tRNA from 1 species